rnacentral:rRNA from 1 species
UACGAAGGGUGCAAGCGUUACUCGGAAUUACUGGGCGUAAAGGGUGCGUAGGUGGUUGUUUAAGUCUGCUGUGAAAGCCCCGGGCUCAACCUGGGAAUGGCAGUGGAUACUGGACAGCUAGAGUGCGGUAGAGGGUAGUGGAAUUCCCGGUGUAGCAGUGAAAUGCGUAGAGAUCGGGAGGAACACCGGUGGCGAAGGCGGGUCUCUGGGCCGAUACUGACGCUGAGGAGCGAAAGCGUGGGGAGCGAACAGG